AGAGUUUGAUCAUGGCUCAGAUUGAACGCUGGCGGCAGGCCUAACACAUGCAAGUCGAACGGUAACAGGAAUCAGCUUGCUGAUUCGCUGACGAGUGGCGGACGGGUGAGUAAUGUCUGGGAAACUGCCUGAUGGAGGGGGAUAACUACUGGAAACGGUAGCUAAUACCGCAUAAUGUCGCAAGACCAAAGAGGGGGACCUUCGGGCCUCUUGCCAUCGGAUGUGCCCAGAUGGGAUUAGCUUGUUGGUGAGGUAACGGCUCACCAAGGCGACGAUCCCUAGCUGGUCUGAGAGGAUGACCAGCCACACUGGAACUGAGACACGGUCCAGACUCCUACGGGAGGCAGCAGUGGGGAAUAUUGCACAAUGGGCGCAAGCCUGAUGCAGCCAUGCCGCGUGUAUGAAGAAGGCCUUCGGGUUGUAAAGUACUUUCAGCGGGGAGGAAGGGAGUAAAGUUAAUACCUUUGCUCAUUGACGUUACCCGCAGAAGAAGCACCGGCUAACUCCGUGCCAGCAGCCGCGGUAAUACGGAGGGUGCAAGCGUUAAUCGGAAUUACUGGGCGUAAAGCGCACGCAGGCGGUUUGUUAAGUCAGAUGUGAAAUCCCCGGGCUCAACCUGGGAACUGCAUCUGAUACUGGCAAGCUUGAGUCUCGUAGAGGGGGGUAGAAUUCCAGGUGUAGCGGUGAAAUGCGUAGAGAUCUGGAGGAAUACCGGUGGCGAAGGCGGCCCCCUGGACGAAGACUGACGCUCAGGUGCGAAAGCGUGGGGAGCAAACAGGAUUAGAUACCCUGGUAGUCCACGCCGUAAACGAUGUCGACUUGGAGGUUGUGCCCUUGAGGCGUGGCUUCCGGAGCUAACGCGUUAAGUCGACCGCCUGGGGAGUACGGCCGCAAGGUUAAAACUCAAAUGAAUUGACGGGGGCCCGCACAAGCGGUGGAGCAUGUGGUUUAAUUCGAUGCAACGCGAAGAACCUUACCUGGUCUUGACAUCCACGGAAGUUUUCAGAGAUGAGAAUGUGCCUUCGGGAACCGUGAGACAGGUGCUGCAUGGCUGUCGUCAGCUCGUGUUGUGAAAUGUUGGGUUAAGUCCCGCAACGAGCGCAACCCUUAUCCUUUGUUGCCAGCGGUCCGGCCGGGAACUCAAAGGAGACUGCCAGUGAUAAACUGGAGGAAGGUGGGGACGACGUCAAGUCAUCAUGGCCCUUACGACCAGGGCUACACACGUGCUACAAUGGCGCAUACAAAGAGAAGCGACCUCGCGAGAGCAAGCGGACCUCAUAAAGUGCGUCGUAGUCCGGAUUGGAGUCUGCAACUCGACUCCAUGAAGUCGGAAUCGCUAGUAAUCGUGGAUCAGAAUGCCACGGUGAAUACGUUCCCGGGCCUUGUACACACCGCCCGUCACACCAUGGGAGUGGGUUGCAAAAGAAGUAGGUAGCUUAACCUUCGGGAGGGCGCUUACCACUUUGUGAUUCAUGACUGGGGUGAAGUCGUAACAAGGUAACCGUAGGGGAACCUGCGGUUG
rnacentral:rRNA from 1 species